GAUGAACGCUAGCGGCAGGCUUAAUACAUGCAAGUCGUGGGGCAGCGCAGGUAGCAAUACUGGGCGUCGACCGGCAAACGGGUGCGGAACACGUACACAACCUUCCGAGAAGUGGGGAAUAGCCCAGAGAAUUUUGGAUUAAUACCCCGUCACAUAACGAUGUGGCAUCACCUUGUUAUUAUAGUUUCGGCGCUUCUUGAUGGGUGUGCGGCUGAUUAGAUAGUUGGCGGGGUAACGGCACACCAAGUCUACGAUCAGUAGCUGAUGUGAGAGCAUGAUCAGCCACACGGGCACUGAGACACGGGCCCGACUCCGACGGGAGGCAGCAGUAAGGAAUAUUGGUCAAUGGACGCAAGUCUGAACCAGCCAUGCCGCGUGAAGGAUUAAGGUCCUCUGGAUUGUAAACUUCUUUUAUCUGGGACGAAAAAAGGCGAUUCUUCGUCACUUGACGGUACCAGAUGAAGAAGCACCGGCUAACUACGUGCCAGCCGCCGCGGUAACAC
rnacentral:rRNA from 1 species